rnacentral:rRNA from 1 species
GCCUACGGGACGCAGCAGUGGGGAAUAUUGGGCAAUGGCCGUAAGGCUGAACCAGCCAAGUCGCGUGAAGGAAGAAGGCUCUAUGGGUUGUAAACUUCUUUUAUAGGGGAAUAAAGGUAUCCACGUGUGGAUAUUUGCAUGUACCCUAUGAAUAAGCAUCGGCUAACUCCGUGCCAGCAGCCGCGGUAAUACGGAGGAUGCGAGCGUUAUCCGGAUUUAUUGGGUUUAAAGGGAGCGUAGGUUGUUUUUUAAGUCAGCGGUGAAAGUUUGUGGCUCAACCGUAAAAUUGCCGUUGAAACUGGAAG